ACGGCGGCCGUAACUAUAACGGUCCUAAGGUAGCGAAAUUCCUUGUCGGGUAAGUUCCGACCUGCACGAAUGGCGUAAUGAUGGCCAGGCUGUCUCCACCCGAGACUCAGUGAAAUUGAACUCGCUGUGAAGAUGCAGUGUACCCGCGGCAAGACGGAAAGACCCCGUGAACCUUUACUAUAGCUUGACACUGAACAUUGAGCCUUGAUGUGUAGGAUAGGUGGGAGGCUUUGAAGUGUGGACGCCAGUCUGCAUGGAGCCGACCUUGAAAUACCACCCUUUAAUGUUUGAUGUUCUAACGUUGACCCGUAAUCCGGGUUGCGGACAGUGUCUGGUGGGUAGUUUGACUGGGGCGGUCUCCUCCUAAAGAGUAACGGAGGAGCACGAAGGUUGGCUAAUCCUGGUCGGACAUCAGGAGGUUAGUGCAAUGGCAUAAGCCAGCUUGACUGCGAGCGUGACGGCGCGAGCAGGUGCGAAAGCAGGUCAUAGUGAUCCGGUGGUUCUGAAUGGAAGGGCCAUCGCUCAACGGAUAAAAGGUACUCCGGGGAUAACAGGCUGAUACCGCCCAAGAGUUCAUAUCGACGGCGGUGUUUGGCACCUCGAUGUCGGCUCAUCACAUCCUGGGGCUGAAGUAGGUCCCAAGGGUAUGGCUGUUCGCCAUUUAAAGUGGUACGCGAGCUGGGUUUAGAACGUCGUGAGACAGUUCGGUCCCUAUCUGCCGUGGGCGCUGGAGAACUGAGGGGGGCUGCUCCUAGUACGAGAGGACCGGAGUGGACGCAUCACUGGUGUUCGGGUUGUCAUGCCAAUGGCACUGCCCGGUAGCUAAAUGCGGAAGAGAUAAGUGCUGAAAGCAUCUAAGCACGAAACUUGCC
rnacentral:rRNA from 1 species